rnacentral:rRNA from 1 species
GCUGAGAGGCGACGCACACUGGACUGAGACACGGCCCAGACUCCUACGGGAGGCAGCAGUGGGGAAUAUUGCACAAUGGGCGAAAGCUGAUGCAGCGACGCCGCGUGGGGGAUGACGGCCUUCGGGUNGUAAACCUCUUUCAGUAGGGAAGAAGCGAAAGUGACGGUACCUGCAGAAGAAGCGCCGGCUAACUACGUGCCAGCAGCCGCGGUAAUACGUAGGGCGCAAGCGUUGUCCGGAAUUAUUGGGCGUAAAGAGCUCGUAGGUGGCUUGUCGCGUCUGCCGUGAAAACCCGAGGCUCAACCUCGGGCGUGCGGUGGGUACGGGCAGGCUAGAGUGUGGUAGGGGAGACUGGAACUCCUGGUGUAGCGGUGAAAUGCGCAGAUAUCAGGAAGAACACCGAUGGCGAAGGCAGGUCUCUGGGCCAUUACUGACACUGAGGAGCGAAAGCAUGGGUAGCGAACAGGAUUAGAUACCCUGGUAGUCCAUGCCGUAAACGUUGGGCACUAGAUGUGGGGGACAUUCCACGUUUUCCGCGUCGUAGCUAACGCAUUAAGUGCCCCGCCUGGGGAGUACGGCCGCAAGGCUAAAACUCAAAGGAAUUGACGGGGGCCCGCACAAGCGGCGGAGCAUGCUGAUUAAUUCGAUGCAACGCGAAGAACCUUACCAAGGCUUGACAUGCACCGGACGGCCGCAGAGAUGUGGCUUUCUUCGGACUGGUGCACAGGUGGUGCAUGGUUGUCGUCAGCUCGUGUCGUGAGAUGUUGGGUUAAGUCCCGCAACGAGCGCAACCCUUGUUCUAUGUUGCCAGCACGUCAUGGUGGGGACUCAUAGGAGACUGCCGGGGUCAACUCGGAGGAAGGUGGGGACGACGUCAAAUCAUCAUGCCCCUUAUGUCUUGGGCUUCAAGCAUGCUACAAUGGUCGGUACAAUGGGUUGCGAAACUGUGAGGUGGAGCGAAUCCCAAAAAGCCGGCCUCAGUUCGGAUUGGGGUCUGCAACUCGACCCCAUGAAGUCGGAGUCGCUAGUAAUCGCAGAUCAGAACG